AGGGUUUGAUCAUGGCUCAGGAUGAACGCUAGCGGCAGGCUUAACACAUGCAAGUCGAGGGGUAACAUUGAAGCUUGCUUCAGAUGACGACCGGCGCACGGGUGCGUAACGCGUAUACAAUCUACCUUGUACUGAGGGAUAGCCCAGAGAAAUUUGGAUUAAUACCUCAUAGUAUUAAGAUUUGGCAUCAAGACUUAAUUAAAGGUUACGGUACAAGAUGAGUAUGCGUCCUAUUAGCUAGAUGGAGUGGUAACGGCACCCCAUGGCAACGAUAGGUAGGGGCCCUGAGAGGGGGAUCCCCCACACUGGUACUGAGACACGGACCAGACUCCUACGGGAGGCAGCAGUGAGGAAUAUUGGACAAUGGGCGCAAGCCUGAUCCAGCCAUGCCGCGUGCAGGAAGACUGCCCUAUGGGUUGUAAACUGCUUUUAUACAGGAAGAAACACUCCCUCGUGAGGGAGCUUGACGGUACUGUAAGAAUAAGGAUCGGCUAACUCCGUGCCAGCAGCCGCGGUAAUACGGAGGAUCCAAGCGUUAUCCGGAAUCAUUGGGUUUAAAGGGUCCGUAGGUGGAUAAUUAAGUCAGAGGUGAAAUCCUGCAGCUCAACUGUAGAAUUGCCUUUGAUACUGGUUAUCUUGAGUUAUUAUGAAGUAGUUAGAAUAUGUAGUGUAGCGGUGAAAUGCAUAGAUAUUACAUAGAAUACCAAUUGCGAAGGCAGAUUACUAAUAAUAUACUGACACUGAUGGACGAAAGCGUGGGGAGCGAACAGGAUUAGAUACCCUGGUAGUCCACGCCGUAAACGAUGGUUACUAGCUGUUCGGUUUUCGGACUGAGUGGCUAAGCGAAAGUGAUAAGUAACCCACCUGGGGAGUACGUUCGCAAGAAUGAAACUCAAAGGAAUUGACGGGGGCCCGCACAAG
rnacentral:rRNA from 1 species